GACGAACGCUGGCGGCGUGCUUAACACAUGCAAGUCGAACGGUGAAGCGCCUUCCUUUUUGGUGGGUGUGGAUGAGUGGCGAACGGGUGAGUAACACGUGAGUAACCUGCCCCCUUCUUCUGGAUAACCGCAUGAAAGUGUGGCUAAUACGGGAUAUUCUGGGUCUGUCGCAUGAUGGGUCUGGGAAAGAUAUUGUUUCGGUGGGGGAUGGGCUCGCGGCCUAUCAGCUUGUUGGUGGGGUGAUGGCCUACCAAGGCGGUGACGGGUAGCCGGCCUGAGAGGGUGGACGAUCACACUGGGACUGAGACACGGCCCAGACUCCUACGGGAGGCAGCAGUGGGGAAUAUUGCACAAUGGGCGCAAGCCUGAUGCAGCGACGCCGCGUGAGGGAUGGAGGCCUUCGGGUUGUGAACCUCUUUCGCCAGUGAAGCAGGCCUGCCUCGUUUGUGGGUGGGUUGACGGUAGCUGGAGAAGAAGCGCCGGCUAACUACGUG
rnacentral:rRNA from 1 species